rnacentral:misc_RNA from 1 species
GAUGAAGAACGUAGCGAAAUGCGAUACGUAAUGUGAAUUGCAGAAUUCAGUGAAUCAUCGAAUCUUUGAACGCAUAUUGCGCUCUCUGGUAUUCCGGAGAGCAUGCUUGUUUGAGUAUCAGUAAACACCUCAACUCCCUUUUCUUUUUUGAAAUGGGAGCUGGACUUGAGUGAUCCCAACACUUUUCUCACUGGAAAGUGGCGGGUCACUUGAAAUGCAGGUGCAGCUGGACUUUUCUCUGAGCUAUAAGCAUAUCUAUUUAGUCUGCCUAAAAAACAGAUUAUUACCUUUGCUGCAGCUAACAUAAAGGAGAUGAGUUCUUGUGCUGACUGAUGCAGGAUUCACAGAGACAGCUUUGCGGCUGACUUUGUAAACUCGAUCUCAAAUCAAGUAAGACUACCCGCUGAACUUAAGCAUAUCAAUAGCGGAGGA